GCUAAAAACUUAGCCUUACCCCUACAAUUAUAUUUACCCUAUUUUACUUACACAAAAUAAAACAUUCUUUAAGCUUAGUAAAGGAGAUAAAAAAGUUUUUUAGAGCUAUAAAAUAAGUACCGCAAGGGAAAAAUGAAAUAAAAAUGAAACAAAAUUCAAGCAUAAUAUAGUAGAGUUUUCCCCUCGUACCUUUUGCAUCAUGAUUCAACUAGUUUAACCACGCAAAAAGAAUUUAAGUUUGACUUCCCGAAACUAAGUGAGCUACUUCAGGGCAGCUAAAUGAGCCAACCCGUCUCUGUUGCAAAAGAGUGGGAUGACCCUUAAGUAGAGGUGAUAAACCUAACGAACUUAGUGAUAGCUGGUUAUUCAGGAAAAGAAUUUUAGUUCAACUUAAAAUUACAUAAAUAAAAUAAAAUAAAAUUUUAAUUUUAAAGCAAUUCAAAUAAGGUACAGCCUAUUUGAAAUAGAAUACAAUCUAAACUAUAGGGUAAAUAUAAAAAAUUAAUGUAAUAAAGUAGGCCUAAAAGCAGCCAACUUUAAAAUAGCGUCAAAGCUUACUUCCAUAAUUUUUUAAUACUAUUAUUUACAAUGAACCCUUUAUUUUUACUGAAUAUUUCUAUAAAGUUAUAGAACCUUUUAUGUUGAAACUAGUAACAAGAAGUUAAACUUCUCCUCAAUAUAAGUAUAAGUCGACUAGGAUAAACCAUCGACAAUUAACGCUUAAAUUAAAUGUAUUAACUCCACAAGAAAAACUUACAUUACCCCACGUUNNUCUUACACCAG
rnacentral:rRNA from 1 species